CCCAGGUCAGGCGGGGCUACCCGCUGAAUUUAAGCAUAUCAAUAAGCGGAGGAAAAGAAACUACAA
rnacentral:rRNA from 2 species